GGACCCGCACAAGCAGUGGAGCAUGUGGUUUAAUUCGACGCAACGCGAAGAACCUUACCAGCGUUUGACAUGGGAAGUGCCGGUUACAGAAUGGUAACCUUCAGUUCGGCUGGCUUCUACACAGGUGCUGCAUGGCUGUCGUCAGCUCGUGUCGUGAGAUGUUGGUUAAGUCCCGCAACGAGCGCAACCCUUAUCGUUAGUUGCCAUCAAUUCGGUUGGGCACUCUGGCGAGACUCCCGGUGUUAAGCCGGCGGAAGAUGGGAUGACGUCAAGUCCUCAUGGCCCUUAUGACUGGGGCUACACACGUACUACAAUGGCAACUACAGAGGGCCGCGAACCAGCGAUGGUAAGCCAA
rnacentral:rRNA from 1 species